GUUUGAUCCUGGCUCAGGAUGAACGCUAGCUACAGGCUUAACACAUGCAAGUCGAGGGGCAGCAUCAUCAAAGCUUGCUUUGAUGGAUGGCGACCGGCGCACGGGUGAGUAACACGUAUCCAACCUGCCGACAACACUGGGAUAGCCUUUCGAAAGAAAGAUUAAUACCGGAUGGCAUAGUUUUCCCGCAUGGGAUAAUUAUUAAAGAAUUUCGGUUGUCGAUGGGGAUGCGUUCCAUUAGGCAGUUGGCGGGGUAACGGCCCACCAAACCAACGAUGGAUAGGGGUUCUGAGAGGAAGGUCCCCCACAUUGGAACUGAGACACGGUCCAAACUCCUACGGGAGGCAGCAGUGAGGAAUAUUGGUCAAUGGGCGAGAGCCUGAACCAGCCAAGUAGCGUGAAGGAUGACUGCCCUAUGGGUUGUAAACUUCUUUUAUAAAGGAAUAAAGUCGGGUAUGGAUACCCGUUUGCAUGUACUUUAUGAAUAAGGAUCGGCUAACUCCGUGCCAGCAGCCGCGGUAAUACGGAGGAUCCGAGCGUUAUCCGGAUUUAUUGGGUUUAAAGGGAGCGUAGGCGGGUUGUUAAGUCAGUUGUGAAAGUUUGCGGCUCAACCGUAAAAUUGCAGUUGAUACUGGCGACCUUGAGUGCAACAGAGGUAGGCGGAAUUCGUGGUGUAGCGGUGAAAUGCUUAGAUAUCACGAAGAACUCCGAUUGCGAAGGCAGCUUACUGGAUUGUAACUGACGCUGAUGCUCGAAAGUGUGGGUAUCAAACAGGAUUAGAUACCCUGGUAGUCCACACAGUAAACGAUGAAUACUCGCUGUUUGCGAUAUACAGUAAGCGGCCAAGCGAAAGCGUUAAGUAUUCCACCUGGGGAGUACGCCGGCAACGGUGAAACUCAAAGGAAUUGACGGGGGCCCGCACAAGCGGAGGAACAUGUGGUUUAAUUCGAUGAUACGCGAGGAACCUUACCCGGGCUUAAAUUGCAACUGACUGAACCGGAAACGGUUCUUUCUUCGGACAGUUGUGAAGGUGCUGCAUGGUUGUCGUCAGCUCGUGCCGUGAGGUGUCGGCUUAAGUGCCAUAACGAGCGCAACCCUUAUCGAUAGUUACCAUCAGGUUAUGCUGGGGACUCUGUCGAGACUGCCGUCGUAAGAUGUGAGGAAGGUGGGGAUGACGUCAAAUCAGCACGGCCCUUACGUCCGGGGCUACACACGUGUUACAAUGGGGGGUACAGAAGGCAGCUACACGGCGACGUGGUGCUAAUCCCGAAAGCCUCUCUCAGUUCGGAUUGGAGUCUGCAACCCGACUCCAUGAAGCUGGAUUCGCUAGUAAUCGCGCAUCAGCCACGGCGCGGUGAAUACGUUCCCGGGCCUUGUACACACCGCCCGUCAAGCCAUGGAAGCCGGGAGUACCUGAAGCAUGCAACCGCAAGGAGCGUACGAAGGUAAUACCGGUA
rnacentral:rRNA from 1 species